UACGUAAGUGGCGAGCGUUAUCCGGAAUUACUGGGCGUAAAGCGUGCGUAGGCGGUUUAGUGUGUGGGAAUUGAAAGCCCGGGGCUCAACCCCGGGUCGGCCGUGCGGACUGGCGUGCUCGAGCACUGUAGGGGCGGGUGGAAUUCCGGGUGUAGCGGUGGAAUGCGUAGAGAUCCGGAAGAACACCGGUGGCGAAGGCGGCCCGCUGGGCAGGAAGGCUCGCAAGAGCCGGCUGACGCUGAGGCGCGACAGCGUGGGGAGCAAACAGG
rnacentral:rRNA from 1 species